GACGAACGCUGGCGGCGUGCUUAACACAUGCAAGUCGAACGGAAAGGCCCCGCUUUUGUGGGGUGCUCGAGUGGCGAACGGGUGAGUAACACGUGAGUAACCUGCCCUUGACUUUGGGAUAACUUCAGGAAACUGGGGCUAAUACCGGAUAGGAGCUCCUGCUGCAUGGUGGGGGUUGGAAAGUUUCGGCGGUUGGGGAUGGACUCGCGGCUUAUCAGCUUGUUGGUGGGGUAGUGGCUUACCAAGGCUUUGACGGGUAGCCGGCCUGAGAGGGUGACCGGCCACAUUGGGACUGAGAUACGGCCCAGACUCCUACGGGAGGCAGCAGUGGGGAAUAUUGCACAAUGGGCGGAAGCCUGAUGCAGCAACGCCGCGUGCGGAAUGACGGCCUUCGGGUUGUAAACCGCUUUCGCCUGUGACGAAGCGUGAGUGACGGUAAUGGGUAAAGAAGCACCGGCUAACUACGUG
rnacentral:rRNA from 1 species